rnacentral:rRNA from 1 species
GCAAGUCGAACGGUAGAGGGGGCAACCCCUUGAGAGUGGCGAACGGCUUAGUAAUAUAUCGGAACGUGCCCAGUCGUGGGGGAUAACGUAGUGAAAAUUACGCUAAUACCGCAUACGAUCUAAGGAUGAAAGCGGGGGAUCGCAAGACCUCGCGCGAUUGGAGCGGCCGAUAUCAGAUUAGGUAGUUGGUAGGGUAAAGGCCUACCAAGCCAACGAUCUGUAGCUGGUCUGAGAGGACGACCAGCCACACUGGAACUGAGACACGGUCCAGACUCCUACGGGAGGCAGCAGUGGGGAAUUUUGGACAAUGGGCGAAAGCCUGAUCCAGCCAUUCCGCGUGCAGGAUGAAGGCCCUCGGGUUGUAAACUGCUUUUGUACAGAACGAAAAGGUCUCUAUUAAUACUAGGGGCUCAUGACGGUACUGUAAGAAUAAGCACCGGCUAACUACGUGCCAGCAGCCGCGGUAAUACGUAGGGUGCAAGCGUUAAUCGGAAUUACUGGGCGUAAAGCGUGCGCAGGCGGUUAUAUAAGUCAGAUGUGAAAUCCCCGGGCUCAACCUGGGAACUGCAUUUGAGACUGUAUAGCUAGAGUACGGUAGAGGGGGAUGGAAUUCCGCGUGUAGCAGUGAAAUGCGUAGAUAUGCGGAGGAACACCGAUGGCGAAGGCAAUCCCCUGGACCUGUACUGACGCUCAUGCACGAAAGCGUGGGGAGCAAACAGGAUUAGAUACCCUGGUAGUCCACGCCCUAAACGAUGUCAACUGGUUGUUGGGUCUUAACUGACUCAGUAACGAAGCUAACGCGUGAAGUUGACCGCCUGGGGAGUACGGCCGCAAAGGUGAAACUCAAAGGAAUUGAC